rnacentral:rRNA from 1 species
UGGGGAAUUUUGGACAAUGGGGGAAACCCUGAUCCAGCCAUCCCGCGUGUGCGAUGAAGGCCUUCGGGUUGUAAAGCACUUUUGGCAGGAAAGAAACGUCAUGGGUUAAUACCCCGUGAAACUGACGGUACCUGCAGAAUAAGCACCGGCUAACUACGUGCCAGCAGCCGCGGUAAUACGUAGGGUGCAAGCGUUAAUCGGAAUUACUGGGCGUAAAGCGUGCGCAGGCGGUUCGGAAAGAAAGAUGUGAAAUCCCAGAGCUCAACUUUGGAACUGAAUUUUUAACUACCGGGCUAGAGUGUGUCAGAGGAAGGUGGAAUUCCGCAAGUAGCAGUGAAAUGCGUAGAUAUGCGGAGGAACAACGAUGGCGAAGGCAGCCUCCUGGGAUAACACUGACGCUCAUGCACGAAAGCGUGGGGAGCAAACAGG